AUUAAAGUUGUUGCAGUUAAAAAGCUCGUAGUUGGACUUGUGUGCGCUGUCCGCGUGUGGCCUGCGCCCAAAAGGGCGUUUCGGUUCGGCCCCGGUGGCGCCUUGAAAUCUGCAGCUGGGGGGACGUUGGCCUUAACUGGUCGGCGACCGCACGCCGGCUGCUCGGUUACUGUGAGAAAAUUAGAGUGUUCAAGGCAGGCAUUGGGUGCAAUUGAAUACAUUAGCAUGGAAUGAUAAAAUAUGGCUCCUGCCGUAUUUUGUUGGUUUUGACUGGUGGGAGUAAUGAUUGAUAGGGACGGUUGGGGGUGCUAGUAUUGAGCGGCCAGAGGUGAAAUUCAUGGAUUCGCUCAAGACUAACUUAUGCGAAAGCAUUCACCAAGGACGUCCUCUUUAAUCAAGAACGAAAGUUGGGGGGUCGAAGACGAUCAGAUACCGUCGUAGUCUCAACCAUAAACUAUGUCGACUUGGGAUCGGCGGUAGUUUUUUCAUUAAGACACUGUCGGGACCACGGGAGAAAUCAAAGUGUCUGGACUCUGGGGGAAGUAUGGUCGCAAGGCUGAAACUUGAAGGAAUUGACGGAAGGGCACCACCAGGAGUGGAGCCUGCGGCUUAAUUUGACACAACACGGGGAAACUUACCAGGUCCAGAGAUGUAGAGGAUUGACAGAUUGAAGCUCUUUCUUGAUCACUUCGGUGGUGGUGCAUGGCCGUUCUUAGUUGGUGGAGUGAUUUGUCUGGUUAAUUCCGUUAACGAACGAGACCUCAGCCUGCUAGUGUAGUCGGCUGGAUUGCCUUUGGCGAUCCGUGAUUUCGACUUCUUAGAGGGACAAUCGACGCGCAGUCGAUGGAAGUUUGAGGCAAUAACAGGUCUGUUAUGCCCUUAGAUGUUCUGGGCCGCACGCGCGCUACACUGCUGGGCUCAGCGAGUUUUACUUGGCCGAGAGGCCCGGUUAAUCUUGUGAAAUCCCAGCGUGCUUGGGCUCGCCUCCUGCAACUGGAGGCGCCAACGAGGAAUUCCUAGUAGACGCAGGUCAUCAACCUGCAUCGAUUACGUCCCUGCCCUUUGUACACACCGCCCGUCGUUCCAUAAGAGUGAGGCAUCCGGUGAAUUCUCGGGAGAGCCUGGGCGUGGCCAGCAAUGGUCUGCUCGGGUUUGAACUUGCAUAAACUUGGUGCCUAUGAUUAGGG
rnacentral:rRNA from 1 species